rnacentral:pre_miRNA from 1 species
UUUGGGGGAAGUAGUGGUCCGUUAGGUUGGGGAAAAAGACAUCUUCCCUUGAAGUAAAAUUAGGUUUGCUUCCUUUUACUCCCAAAAUCUUUUUACCGUGGGUAAAAAGAAUCAUCAAAAGGAACCAAAUUUAAAUUUAACUCAAGGGGUCUUGAUGUCGUUUUUUCCAACAGGACGGAUCACUACUUUGCCCAAG